rnacentral:sRNA from 1 species
ACCUGUUGUUAGUUUUGCCGUGAGUCACCCUAUUUAAAAGCAAGUCCGUGCAAUUUAGCACAAAGGUUUUACAGAGUUUUUUUGAGGUUUUCAUGUCUAAAGUAACUGGUACCGUUAAGUGGUUUAACGCAGAAAAAGGUUAUGGCUUUUUAACGCAAGACGACGGCGGUAAAGACGUAUUCGUACAUUUCCGCGCAAUCGUAUCUGACGGAUACAAGACCCUUGCAGAAGGUCAAAAGGUUCAAUUCGAAGUUGAACAAGGCCAAAAAGGUCUUCAAGCGGCUAACGUAACAGCCCUUUAAUGAUUUUACGGCUCCCGGCGUUGUCGGGAGCUCGUUUU